GGAUUGGGAUAUUCCGACUCCUUAAGGGCCUGGCGCACAUAAGGUGUGACCUUUUCAUUCCCGUUGUUAUGGAGGGCCACAUCUGCCAGAGCCUGGAGUCUGCGAAGGCCGGGACCCGGUUCCCCGGCCCACAGUGGGGGUGUGCAAACCCGAGAGAACUGGUCGCUGAAACCUCUACAACUUAGUUGACCGUAACUGCCAGAGCCCUGCCCUGAAUUCCUGUCCUUACUCCCUCUUUAAGAUUGCGUACCCACUGCAGAGUGCUGAAGACGGGGUAGCCACGAGGUUGCAAAUUCGUGAAGAAUCAGCAUCAUGUUUGGCAGCUGAGUAUUGGAGCCAGGAGCCUGCCAUGAGGUUUUGAGAACAGAGUGCUGUUUUAGAGCUGGCAGCAGCAUCUCAGCCCAAGAGAAGGUUAUAUUCCCAGAGGAUGUCAGUCCCAAGGACCAGUAGCUGCCAUCAGUUUGGAUUCUGAAAACUAACUGGCAUCAACACUGGGUGUAGAAACAUGCUUGCCUUAUGUAUCAGAGGACAUGCUCAGCAGAUCCAAGAGAUAUAUUUGGCAACUUUUUCUAGAAAAGGCACAUUGGGUAUCAUUCAUUACAUUCUUGAGUUUUUUUGGGUUUUUUUUUUUUUUUUUGAGACAGUCUUGCUGUAUUGCCCAGGCUGGAGUGUGGUGGCACAAUCACAGCUCAUUGCAUCCUCAAUCACCCAGGCCUAAGCAAUCCUCCCACCUUGUAGCUGGGACUACAGCUCACAGCACACCUGGCUAAAAUUUUUUUUUUGUUGAGACGGAUUCUCUAUGUUGCCCAGGCUGGUCUCAGGCUCCUGGGCUCAGAUGGUCCUCCUGCCUCAGCUUCCAAAGGCACAGGCCAAGUUGUAGCUUUGUCCCUUGCCAUCAUGCCCAACAAGAGGUUCUAUACCUUUUAAUGAAUUGACUUUCAUAAAUUGGUUAUGUUGGUGGGCAAAGUUCUUUAAGCUGGAAAUUGUAAAUUCCUCCUGAAAUGUUUUUUCAUGCAGUUACCAUGAACUAAUACUACAAUAAAGGAUGGUCUUGGGUGUCAAUUCUUGAA
rnacentral:lncRNA from 1 species